rnacentral:misc_RNA from 1 species
AGGCGUGUGGAUUCGGAAGAGCGCGGAGCGCUCCUCCCGCCACACACUCAUGGCAGCAUCUCCCACCUGUCGAGGCACAUGCGGGCAAGCCAUCCAGACGCCCGCACCUGUGGCAUCGACAAAAACAUGUGAGGAAGACAACGAGCCCGUUUCCGCAGACAACCACGUCCUUAUGUUGCAGGCCCCGGGAUGCAGACAUGCCAGCAAUGUGCGCACGAGCUGUCAACCGUCGCCGGCAUGACGUAUCAUAUAGAAACAAAGCGGCCAGAGGUGAUUAGAACAGAAGUGAUUGACGCUACAGGCACGACGACAUCCACGCCGAUCAGCCCCACAGCACAUGCCUGCGAAGCGCACGGCACCUCCGACGUCCCGGGCGGGUGGGCUGGCGAGGCCCGGGUGCCGGCAGCAUGGCGAGAGCAGCCCGAAUCAACGCAGCGAGUCCUCCAGACGCCCAUGUGGAGUGUCGCCACACGGUGGCACGGGAGUGCGCGGCGCGAGGCAACGGGGUGCGAAGGAUGGCCCGCAGGCAGCGGUGCGCAGGGUCUCGGAGGGCCCUGGCCUGAGAGGCUGGCCGACGUCCGUGAGCUCACCCGGUGCGCGCGUAGCUGACGCCUCGCCUGUUGGCCGGCACGACGGGCACCACGGCUUCCGCCCUCGAGCGGGGGACCCUUGGCGGCGGUGUGCUUUGGGUGAAGGCGUGCAGGCCACCCGCGUCUGCGUCUGGCGCGGAUCGGGCAGCACGCCGCCGGCGGAGGGACCGAGAGGGGCAGGAUGGGGAGAGCUGGUUAGACGCGUGGCCUGAUUCGAUGACAGGGGCUGGGCGGGCGCGUCCCAGAGGGCCUGGAUGUCGCGGUGGUGCGGCAGCGGUGGUGGAGCUGUGGCUGGGUGUGCGUAUAUUCUGUUGACUUAGGCCCUAAAUCGCAAUGUGGAAUCUUUUGAUUUCUGAAUCUCCGCUUCCGUCUCAUUUUUUUUUCUUCUUUGAUGCGCAUGCUUUUGCUUUCCUUACACAUGGCUUGGGUGAUUUCGGUGCGCUUGAGGGAAAUGUGUCCCGAGUUCGAUGGUGCUACGAAUCAUGUUCGAAGUUCCUCCUUUAAGAUUUUUUUGUGAUUUUAUUUGUCGCGACUUUGCGACUUUGCACGCGAUUUCGUCGAUGAUGCGACGGCUUGUUGUUUUGUUGUUGAUUCCGGCUUCUAUUAUCUGCUAUGCGCCUUCCCUCUCUUCAUCCCACGUGACCAAAGGCCUUCCGCCUUCAAGUUUACACAGCCGUGCAUGAGUUGCUGUCUCCACUCCUCGAGGACUGUGUGUGUUUGGAGGGGGCGGGGAUGCAUUUUUGUCUAAAGGACGUUUUUUUUUGUGCCCAACCUCCGCCGCCUGCGCUAUACAAACUGUCGGCAAAGCACGCGGUGGAAAGAAGGCAAGCAGGCCAUCAAAAAAGUCAGCGAAGGGCGCGGCGCAGACAGAAGCGCCGCGGGAAUACAGCCAAGAAAGAAUGACACCGCGGAGGCUCGCACAGUGUUGAUUUGUGCAGAGCAACCCCCCUCUCUUUCUCGUCUGUGCCUGUAACGUUGCAGCACACGGGGGCGACACACGAGCCGCACGCAAAUGCGUAUCGAUUCAUGAAGAGAGAUACACUCUCUCAUCAAACAGGCGAGGAUACAAGAGGAAAGUGGCGUUUAACAGACUGUGGUGAAGUCUAUAUUGGCGGGAAGGCGAAUCUACUGCAUGGACGGGCUCGUUGCCGGGCUGCUUCGGCUUCCUUUUUCAGCGAUGUAGACAACGCAAGACGCUCUGAAGAAAAAUGCUGAAGAGGGUGGUGUUUCCUUUUUUCUCGUUUCGCCUUUUGCUGCUUGUGGAACUUGUGGCUGUGUGUGGUGUCUUGGUGUCGGUGUUGGAAGCAGCGAUCGUAUAGCGGAGCGAAAGAGGGGGCGGGGCUUGGGAGCGAUUCUGAUUCGCCUCGCUUCAGCUGUUGCGAAUGAUUUCACCAAUCGCACCCGAGGCAACAUAAAAUGCAGGGUGGCCGGCUUACAUAGUCGCUGGGAAACAAAACGAUUUCAGUGGGGUGCAGUCGAUGUGUUGCCCCCCCCCCCCCCCCGCAGACGUAGGCAUGCCAGGAAGGUGGCAGGCUAGGAGGAGUUUCGGCAGCCGACCUCCUCGAGGUGACGCCACUGGCUUUACUCGCUCGGAAAGCUGCAGAGGAGUCUGGAGGGAGGAAAGACGGGAGGAAGGGACGGGGUCUUGGAGUGGUGACGAUGUUGCUGCGACGUUUUCUGCAACACUUGUCAGUGUCCGUUGUCCGCCGCCGGUUGGCCAUGUCCGGGCGAUGAGUGCGUGAGCGCGUGCUGAACGCCUCUGCCGCUCUGCGUCUCAACGGAUGUCAAUGGUUGGUCUUUGCACUUUUCCAACCUUCAUGCUCUUCACCGCCUCUUUACUCGCGUCCUUUUCUGUUUUCUCUCUUUCGCACUUCUCCUGUAAACGUUUUUGCCCCUCUUCAUCCCCACCCCUGCGUCACUUUAUCGUCUUCCCAUUCGACUACCAUGUUUUGCAUGGGCUCUUUGCCUUUCCUCGGCUUGUCUUGCUCGUGCGGUCUGUGCGUGAG